GACGAACGCUGGCGGCGUGCUUAACACAUGCAAGUCGAACGGAAAGGCCCUGCUUUUGUGGGGUGCUCGAGUGGCGAACGGGUGAGUAACACGUGAGUAACCUGCCCUUGACUUUGGGAUAACUUCAGGAAACUGGGGCUAAUACCGGAUAGGAGCUCCUGCUGCAUGGUGGGGGUUGGAAAGUUUCGGCGGUUGGGGAUGGACUCGCGGCUUAUCAGCUUGUUGGUGGGGUAGUGGCUUACCAAGGCGUUGACGGGUAGCCGGCCUGAGAGGGUGACCGGCCCCAUUGGGACUGAGCUACGGCCCAGACUCCUACGGGAGGCAGCAGUGGGGAAUAUUGCACAAUGGGCGGAAGCCUGAUGCAGCAACGCCGCGUGCGGGAUGACGGCCUUCGGGUUGUAAACCGCUUUCGCCUGUGACGAAGCGUGAGUGACGGUAAUGGGUAAAGAAGCACCGGCUAACUACGUG
rnacentral:rRNA from 1 species